AGUCAAGAUGAUCUAGCGGAUCCUCCAUUGGCAGGCCAUGAAACUUGUUCCCCUGAACCAUUGCAAUGAGAUCGCUUUAGAUCUCAAAGUUGUUGUUUUGUAUUGGAGGUGGAACAAUUCCAUGACGGUGGUUGUGGUUGUGAGGGAAGUCACCAGCACCAAUGUUGGUAGGUUGCUCUUGCUCAUCUACAAUGUCAGCCAUUGUGUCGGUUUCUGUCUGUUCUAUCAGUUGGCGAGCAAUACGGUCGAUGUUAUCGUUGAAUAGGAGGUUCUGAUUUCCUUGUGAUCGUGUAUGUAUGGCAACGGCGCCAAAUUGAUAGUAGGAUUUUAGUCAAUUAAUCCUAAAACACUAUCCUGUCGUUGUAGUAUUUUAGGAUGUCAAUCCAAUCCGGUGUGAUGCAAACAGAUGAGAUAUGAUUAGAAAGCUCUAAGUCAAUCCAAGCAGAAAGUUGGUUGGUUUUAACAGUCCUAGUAUGCAAUAACAGAAAUGAAAUGAAACUAAAAGCAGAAAUGGCAAUAGCAGGCAGGUGAAUAACAAAGCAGAAAUGAUAACAGGCAAUCAAAUGGAUAAACGAUUCCUAAGGAUGGGGUUAUCGAAUAGUGUGGUCUCAUUAAUCUAUUUAGGCGGUUGGCAAAACUUCAUAGAAGCUAUCCCUAGACAACAAGUUUAACAACAGAUUAAUUCACUCCCGUGAUAGAAAUCCUCAAGCAAAGCUAGACACUGACCUAAAUCCCUUUAGCGAUCUCUAACUAAGCAGGCAUUAUCGAAUCAACAUGUUAAAGCCAAUCCCCUAUCUACAGCCAAUCCCUUGGGGUAGAGUCAGAUAUCUCUGGAAUUAAUAGGAUCCAACGCCCAUUAAACGCCUUCUGAGCGCUGGACAUCUGGACUCAUAUUCCACAUUAGCCAGUGAAACAAGGAAUAAGCGCAACUAAUCCAAAAGGGAUUCUAGUAUUCUAAACUCAACCACCUAAAACGACCAAGUAAACCACAACUAAUUUAUCCCAUCCUCAGAAAUACAGUUCACUACUCAGACAUAAUCAAAGACAAUAGCAAAGCAACGAUUGAAAACAUGAUAACAGAAAUGAUGAAAGACUUAGACGAAAACUGAAUAUCAAAUACUUGAAAGUAAAAAUACAAAGUCGCAGGAGAAACACUGCGGCUAUCAAAGUUGCGAAAAUGUAAAAGCGAGAUAAUAACGGAUAAUACCGGAUGCCCUAGGGAAAACCCUAAGAGGCAGUUUAUAUAGGCGAGAAAUGAAACAAAUAAGAAAACUAAAUAUAUAGCGAAUCUUCACGUCAUGAUCCUACGACCGAAUGUGUCAUUGGCAUCUGAC
rnacentral:sRNA from 1 species